rnacentral:rRNA from 1 species
GGUUUCCUACGGGGGGCAGCAGUCGGGAAUAUUGCGCAAUGGAGGAAACUCUGACGCAGUGACGCCGCGUGCAGGAAGAAGGAUUUCGGAUUGUAAACUGCUUUAGACAGGGAAGAUAAUGACAGUACCUGUAGAAUAAGCUCCGGCUAACUACGUGCCAGCAGCCGCGGUAAUAAGUAGGGAGCAAGCGUUAUCCGGAUUUAUUGGGUGUAAAGGGUGCGUAGACGGGAAGGCAAGUUGGUUGUGAGAUCCCUCGGCUUAACUG